rnacentral:lncRNA from 1 species
GCAACUCCGCUAAUUCAUCUAAGUCUUAACAAAUGGCAUGUACAAAUCCUGAUUCCAUGCAUCCAAGAGACAAAACUACAUUGAUUUCUAUUCAUCACUGGAGUUUAUCUGUCAAACAUAUUUUGGAAUGGAUAAAAGGGGGGAAGUUGAUACAUUUGAUUAGCCUUAACUUUUAGCAAUUAAGACUUAUACAAAUGUUAAAUUAUGGCUCAUCAGAAAAAAAUUUGAUAAUUAAAUGGUUGAAAAUGGAAUCAACAU